UGAGUCCAGUAGGAGGAGAAGCCAAACACAGCUUGACUACCAUAUAACCUGAUCAAUACACUCUGAGAGCUACAGACCCAAGUGUCCUAUGAACUGAGCUCAACUUAUUUCUUCUCCUUCUGAAAAGUCCCUGUUCCAAGGGAUAGCUUGGUGGGUAGGGAAGUGGAAGCAAUAUGGUCAGAAAUGGAUAUGAUGGGGAAAACCCAACAGGAACAUGAACAAGAAGACAAAUGUUUCCAAAUAAAAGAGCUCCAGGGAGUGACUGACGGUGGGUAGAUCCUGCUGAGAGGAUCCCUGCUUCCCAUGUCCUUCCUUCUCACACAUUAAUUACCAGGCCUGGUGGAACCAUGUCUAUUCUCAGUCACAAUCAAGGGAGCCCAUUCCUCACCACUCUGCCCCAGGGGUCUUGUCCUGUUUCUUGGGGAAAAUAAUUUGAUUCCUACAAAGUAUUGGAUGUUCCUAAUGGGGGAAUCCAUGAGCUAAUGGUCUCUGGGGAUUCCUAGAAGGCAGCCAUUGUUUUCUGCCUUUGUGUCCCCACCCAGAGGACAGUGCCAGGCUCAUCAGAACCUCCCUUCAGAACCAGAUGGAUAUAGCACUGAACUCUGCAUCACAAAGCCCUAGGAGAAGAAGCACCUCCCACACCACACCACUGGCCCUGCAUCCAUUCUGAUUUCUGUAGCCAUCAUUGCUCCAUCUCACUAUGAAGAAGGGGCUCACCCACCCCGUGUUUCACCACCAAUGCUGACUUCCAGAUCUGCAUGACCUUGAGCAGGUCACAUUUGCUGCCUAAGGUUCAUCUCUAGAAGGAGGAUCAUAGUCUUUGAACUCCUUGGGCAGUUGGGAGGAAGUCCUUUGGCCAAUCUCAAAGCACUACUGUCAAUAGUUGUUAAUACAGAAAUAGGAACGGAUGCUUUCUGGAAGAUGGAGGCAAUAUCCCCCACUCUGCCAACUUUCUAGGGCUGUGAAGAGGAUUGAAUGAGAGGAGGGAUAUGCCUUGAACGUCAGAACCCUGCUAGGGGCUCUUGUCUUUUCAGUCUUCUCUGCUACCAAGGUCUACCAGAAUUUCUGGCCAACCAGAAGCAAAAUGAAGGAAGGACAAUGAAUUUUUGCUCUCUCUUAAUAAAGAUCCCCAAUUGGCAGCCAGAGGCUCUCACUCAA